CCUACGGGCGGCUGCAGUGGGGAAUAUUGGACAAUGGGGGCAACCCUGAUCCAGCCAUGCCGCGUGUGUGAAGAAGGCCCUCGGGUUGUAAAGCACUUUCAGUGAGGAAGAACGCCUGGUGGUUAAUACCCAUCAGGAAAGACAUCACUCACAGAAGAAGCACCGGCUAACUCCGUGCCAGCAGCCGCGGUAAUACGGAGGGUGCGAGCGUUAAUCGGAAUUACUGGGCGUAAAGCGCGCGUAGGUGGCUUGAUAAGCCGGUUGUGAAAGCCCCGGGCUCAACCUGGGAACGGCAUCCGGAACUGUCAAGCUAGAGUGCAGGAGAGGAAGGUAGAAUUCCCGGUUUAGCGGUGAAAUGCGUAGAGAUCGGGAGGAAUACCAGUGGCGAAGGCGGCCUUCUGGACUGACACUGACACUGAGGUGCGAAAUCGUGGGUAGCAAACAGGAUUAGAUACCCGAGUAGUC
rnacentral:rRNA from 1 species